AGAAUAUAAGAACCCGUUUCUUACCUUCUAAUUAAAAAAAACUAAGAACCGGUUCUUAAAUAAGAUAUUUAAGAGCCAGUUCUUAAUUUUUUUUGUUAAAAAUUAAGAGACGGAUUCUUAUAUUCC
rfam:Brassica oleracea var. oleracea cultivar TO1000 chromosome C2, whole genome shotgun sequence